UAAGGAAUAUUGGUCAAUGGACGCAAGUCUGAACCAGCCAUGCCGCGUGCAGGAUGACGGCCUUAUGGGUUGUAAACUGCUUUUGUCAGGGAAUAAACCCUUGUUUGCGAACAAGGCUGAAGGUACCUGAAGAAUAAGCAUCGGCUAACUCCGUGCCAGCAGCCGCGGUAAUACGGAGGAUGCAAGCGUUAUCCGGAUUCAUUGGGUUUAAAGGGUGCGCAGGCGGACUGAUAAGUCAGUGGUGAAAUCCUACGGCUCAACCGUGGAUUGCAUUGAUACUGUCCUUAAUAAAUUUANUGGGGGAAGUGGAUGUACCUGGAAUACGUAAAAUGCUUAAAUUGCUACGGAAAACACCAAUAGCGAAGGCAGCUCACUAAGUUAUAACUGACGCUCAUGCACGAAAGCGUGGGGAUCAAACAGGAUUAGAUACCCUGGUAGUCCACGCUGUAAACGAUGAUCACUCGUUGUUGGCAAUACAUCGUCAGCGACUAAAGCGAAAGUGAUAAGUGAUCCACCUGGGGAGUAAGGUCGCAAGAUUG
rnacentral:rRNA from 1 species